rnacentral:rRNA from 1 species
GAUGAACGCUGGCGGCGUGCCUAAUACAUGCAAGUCGAGCGAACAGACGAGAGUGCUUGCACUCUCUGACGUUAGCGGCGGACGGGUGAGUAACACGUGGGUAACCUACCUAUAAGACUGGGAUAACUUCGGGAAACCGGAGCUAAUACCGGAUAAUAUUUAGCUUCGCAUGAAGCAAUAGUGAAAGACGGUUCUGCUGUCACUUAUAGAUGGACCCGCGGUGUAUUAGCUAGUUGGUGAGGUAACGGCUCACCAAGGCAACGAUACAUAGCCGACCUGAGAGGGUGAUCGGCCACACUGGGACUGAGACACGGCCCAGACUCCUACGGGAGGCAGCAGUAGGGAAUCUUCCGCAAUGGACGAAAGUCUGACGGAGCAAUGCCGCGUGAGUGAAGAAGGUUUUCGGAUCGUAAAACUCUGUUGCAAGGGAAGAACAAGUACGUUAGUAACUGAACGUACCUUGACGGUACCUUACCAGAAAGCCACGGCUAACUACGUG